rnacentral:rRNA from 1 species
CGGACGGGUGAGUAAUGUCCGGGAAACUGCCUGAUGGAGGGGGAUAACUACUGGAAACGGUAGCUAAUACCGCAUAACGUCGCAAGACCAAAGAGGGGGACCUUCGGGCCUCUUGCCAUCGGAUGUGCCCAGAUGGGAUUAGCUAGUAGGUGGGGUAACGGCUCACCUAGGCGACGAUCCCUAGCUGGUCUGAGAGGAUGGCCAGCCACACUGGAACUGAGACACGGUCCAG